rnacentral:lncRNA from 1 species
GUCUAUGCGGAUGCAAGACAAAGGACGCGACUUUUCUUCAAGACAUGGUCGCUUUGGUCUCUCCGCGUCUCCUUGUUGUGAGGCCAAUCGGAUCGCUCAUCCGGGAUCAUGCUGAUAACGUGUUGAAUGAAAUCAAGAAACAAACAAGAGAGACAACAAAUGAUUCAACUGUCUCCUUUUCAUUGAUGAUGAUGUCUUAUAUAGUAUUACAAAGGGUGCCUCCAAGGGGUGUGUGUACAAAGGGACAUGAGCAACCGACAUGCCAAAAGUAACUGCCUUGGUAAUUAAAAAAAGCAAGGAUUAACAUAAUUAAUUAAUCAUAGCAAAGAUAACACUCACGGCAACACAUUCUGUUUUCUUGCAGAUGGAAACACAACCACUCUUCACCGUGGAUAUCCCUCAAUUUUUACGUGCAUACAUUCUCAUCAUUCUUGAGUUUAAAAGAAUUACCACAGUUGUGAUCCUUCAACUGGUCCUGUAAACAUCUCCAAAUACCCGACUUCUGUGACAAAAUAAAAAUAAAAUCAAGCACCCCCGCUCAUUAGUAAAGAUCCUAGCAAGUGCAACAAAAUGCCAGUAAUCUUUAUUUUUGCAAGGUGCGGCGAGGGCAAGAGGUAUUGUGACACGUAUGCUGAUUCAGCAGAAAUAUAUAAUCAUGCAAGUGGACAAUCAAAAUAGUUUAAAGUCAACUGGUUACAUCUAAGGAUGCAACUGGACAAUCAAAAAUAUUUUGAAUCGACUGUUUUUUGUAAUCUAGAGUUUCCACCAGUACAGUUUGCAGUAGUUUCUCUCGUGCUCCCUCCUUCCCAAAAUAUAAGGCGUCAGUUGACUUUCUUGGUCUUAGUUGCAGAACUUUGACUAUGAUUUUCACACAUUGUAUGUCUAUAAAAUUAACAUACAAACAUGUAAAAUAAAAUUAUUCUGCAAGACAAAUUUGUCAAUAUCAUUUAUACAUGUUCUUUCGUUAUAUAUUAGCAGUUAAAGCCGUGCAUCAAAGACCAUGCAAAGUCAAUCGUACAUUAUAUUAUGGAGUAUCAUUUUCUUCAACUAAUCACUAUCAACAGUUGGCAAACUGGUUUGGACAUGUUCCACACUAUAUACUGAAACUGAAAAGAAAGAACAUCACCUUCAAUUACUUACCCCUUGUUCUGAUGUAGAGUUGUUAGCAUCCUCUCUGGUAGAAAGAAAAUCAAUGUUCAUGAGAGCCUCAUAAAUGUAGAAGUGCAUACAAACUAAAACCCUGCUGAUUAUUUAUUUGUGUGACAAAUCAUGAAGCAAAUAUAUUUUAGAGUUUAGUGCACACGCAGCAGUAUAAACCAGUCUUGUAAUCUCU